rnacentral:rRNA from 1 species
GCCUGGGGAGUACGGCCGCAAGGUUAAAACUCAAAUGAAUUGACGGGGGCCCGCACAAGCGGUGGAGCAUGUGGUUUAAUUCGAUGCAACGCGAAGAACCUUACCUGGUCUUGACAUCCACAGAACUUUCCAGAGAUGGAUUGGUGCCUUCGGGAACUGUGAGACAGGUGCUGCAUGGCUGUCGUCAGCUCGUGUUGUGAAAUGUUGGGUUAAGUCCCGCAACGAGCGCAACCCUUAUCCUUUGUUGCCAGCGGUCCGGCCGGGAACUCAAAGGAGACUGCCAGUGAUAAACUGGAGGAAGGUGGGGAUGACGUCAAGUCAUCAUGGCCCUUACGACCAGGGCUACACACGUGCUACAAUGGCAUAUACAAAGAGAAGCGACCUCGCGAGAGCAAGCGGACCUCAUAAAGUAUGUCGUAGUCCGGAUUGGAGUCUGCAACUCGACUCCAUGAAGUCGGAAUCGCUAGUAAUCGUAGAUCAGAAUGCUACGGUGAAUACGUUCCCGGGCCUUGUACACACCGCCCGUCACACCAUGGGAGUGGGUUGCAAAAGAAGUAGGUAGCUUAACCUUCGGGAGGGCGCUUACCACUUUGUGAUUCAUGACUGGGGUGAAGUCGUAACAAGGUAACCGUAGGGGAACCUGCGGUUGGAUCACCUCCUUACCUUAAAGAA